rnacentral:rRNA from 1 species
AUACGGAGGGUGCAAGCGUUACUCGGAAUCACUGGGCGUAAAGCGCGCGCAGGCGGCUAUUUAAGUUGGAUGUGAAAGCCUACGGCUCAACCGUAGAACUGCAUCCAAAACUAUUUAGCUAGAGUGUGGGAGAGGAAGAUGGAAUUAGUUGUGUAGGGGUAAAAUCCGUAGAGAUAACUAGGAAUACCAAAAGCGAAGGCAAUCUUCUGGAACACUACUGACGCUGAGGCGCGAAAGCGUGGGGAGCAAACGGGAUUAGAAACCCCAAGUAGUCC